GCUUUUGUUAUUAUUUCAUGGACAUUGAUUGAGUUAAUUUAUUAAAACACGUACUACACCAGAUGACCAGAAGCAGGACUGGCAUCGGGCUAUCUUCUCACCUACUCCACACUAUCAACACGUAUUCAUUUUCUUCUUUCUCUAGUCUUUGGUCUUUUCGGAGCUCCCAGCCAUGGAAAGGAGCAAAAGGCUGAGCCAGAUUAGAUCCACUCCAUCUCAAGACAAGCCCGAGUCUCCCCUCGGUUUGCUACUUUGUGGUCCUCACCUCCACACGCACCUCGUGGCUGGGAUGAUGCUUGGAUCCCGGCCGGUGAACACGUAGCAGGGCCCUAAUAGCAGCUGCGUGAUGGAGAACGCGAGGUCGUCGGGCUCGACGAUGCCUUUCCCGUCAGCGUCCAUGUAGGCGAUGGAGUGGAUCUCGUUCCCUUAGCUCCUGCGCAAUUUUGGGGAUCCUGGGAGGGUUAUCCGUCCCCAACCGUCGAGCUGCAGGCGUCGUUGCUGUUCCCAAGCGAGGCACCUGACGCAUCUUCUUCAUCCUCUACAGUAGCAGCCCGGCUUUGGCGUUGCAUUCUUCCACCUGCAAUAUACUUUAAGAUUGACUUCUUGUCCAUGUACCAAAUGAAGAUAGUAAGUUCUGGACGCCUAACGCCGCUUAAUGCAAAAUUUUAAUCAGUUUAUGUCCCCUCCACUUUUUUCGGGCUUGGGACUGGAAUAGGUAGUGUUCGACCCCCUACACCCAUUAAUUUUCAGCAAAUUAAGGAAAUAAUUAGUGUCUUUAUGUUUUGGCGCAGUGGUAAAGCUGCUGCCUUGUGACCAUGAGGUCAUGGGUUCAAGUCCUGGAAACAGCCUCUUACAGAAAUGUAGGGAAAGGCUGCGUACUAUAGACCCAAAGUGGUCGGACCCUUCCCUGGACCCUGCGCAAGCGGGAGCUACAUGCACCAGGUAUUUAUGGAUAUAUAAAAGGCCGGUAGCAUCCGUCUAGUUCACGGCGACGGACAUGGCCUCUGCACCGGCGAACAUUCAAGCCAAUACCCAUCUAGUUCAUAUGUAUGCAAGUAGCGCCACAUUUAAUAAAUCUUUGUUUCUGUCUGACCAAAUCCUUUGGUUUGUAUUGAUCAGUGUAUACAUGUCCUUGCCCUGAGUGCAUGUACCACUCUUAUAUUGUAAAUUCCCAAAGAGACAAUUGAUGACGGCACCUUAGAUUACAAAUUGAUAAUGUACAAUUAGUUAAGUGAAAUCGGUUCUGGCUCUCCAUGUUUCAUGGGGUGAAGCACAAUAUGUGUAAAGCCCUAUCGAGUUUUACCAUCUGAGCCACUUAGUACUGCGAUACAGUGGAGAUUCCAGCAAUCCUACAGUCCGUGGAUACUGCUAUUCAGUAGGUUAAUAGCGUGCCCCCCUUUUUAAAAAACCAUUUUAUUUGUUUUUAGUAAGUUUAUUCCUUUUUGUAAUAUAUUUUGAGCUCUUCUUUAGAUAGCUAAUUCUUUGGUCUCAUUUAUUUGCUGUUUCUAUGAGUGUUUGUCCUCAUAUUUAGGUGAAAAUCCGAGUUGAAGAGGCGUGGGUCUAUCAUAAGGACCUGGUGAUUUUCAGGAAUGGAUAUGCGGAUCAUACAUGUUACGAAUCUACAUAACCUACCGAGUAUGCCUCUUUUUCGAUUCUAUUGUCGCCAUAAAGAAAAGCCUCCUUUUUCAAUUCUUUGUGAAAUUAAAAAAUAAGUACAUAUGAGAAAGGAUGGUGUAAUAUCAAUAUAAUUUGCAUAAUUAAAUGUUAAGAUGAGAACGACUAAACAUUCAGUGUCUCCAAACUGGAUAAGUCUGCAUGCACACAUAGUAAGUUAAAUCCAUGUUCUCAUGGACUCUUAAAGUAAACACAAUUGUAUGCUAAUGCAGACUACUUCCAAGUAUAUAGAAUAUCUAGAAUAUAUUUGUAUAAGUGCAGCCAAGGGGAUUAAGUUUGUAGUUUAGCACUUGCUAAUGCGUCGUCCUAGCCUGUGUUCCUUCCAGGUGCUUUCCUAAUCCUCUUGUCUUCUGUUGAUUCUUUUCUCUUAUUUUUGCAUUCUGUCCUUUUAUUUUUCGUUUUUUCCUUUAGAUUUUGAAUCCAUUCUCACUAAAAGUUGAAUGUGAAUAAUAUACUUUCCCUGCUAGGCAAACUUUAAUAGAAAACUAAUUGUGUUUAUAGAUGCAUAUGUGGCAUUGUAGCACCAAGCUGUUGGUGCAUGUCCGUUCAAACAUAAAAAAAAGAACCUUCUUUCUUAGCUGAGAAUACCUCGUCAUUGGUACCAUCAAUGCUAAAAUGGUCAUGAUUUUUGUCAUGUCCUGCCAGUAAGGUAAGGUAGAAUACCAUAUAGUUUAAAAUAUAAAAUUGGACAUUUGUUUUUCUUAAAACAAAAAUUUAAAGUUUUGACAUGUGUAAAUUAUUUUUGCAGGUACAUGCAUUUAUUGGGUCCAAUAAUCACCCUGGUUAUCGAUAAACGAUUAGAAACAUUGGAUUUGGGGUAUUGCAAAAAUAGUUUAAAGUUCUCACCUUUGAUACUUGAAUAAAAUUGGAAGUGACAGUCAUGAUUGUUUUUUGUGCCAAACUUCCAUUUACCAUAUUUGCUAAAAUAUAUCCCCGUAGAGUGAUCCCUACCUUCUCACCACUGAAAGAAUUUGACCAUGUAAAAGUAAUGUAAAAAGUCAUACAUAAUUCUGAAAUUGCUUACAUAAUUGAAAUAA